rnacentral:rRNA from 1 species
UUAAAGUCUAAUCUGCCCUAUGAGGUAUUAAAUGGCCGCGGUACUUUGACCGUGCAAAGGUAGCAUAAUAAUUAGUUUUUUAAUUGAAAGCUGGAAUGAAUGAUUGGACGAGAAAAUAACUGUCUCAAUUUAAUUUUUUUUAAAAUUUUAUUUUUAAGUAAGAAAGCUUAAAUAUUAUUAAAAGACGAGAAGACCCUAUAGAGUUUUAUAAUUAAUUUUAUAUUAAUUUUUAAGAAUUAUUUUAUUAAUAUUAAAUUAAUUAUUUUGUUGGGGCGAUAGAAAAAUAUUAUUAACUUUUUUUACUAUUAGUUCAUUAAUUUAUGAAUGAAUGAUCCAUUUUUUAUGAUUAUAAGAAUAAGUUACCUUAGGGAUAACAGCGUUAUUUUUUUUUAGAGUUCUUAUCGAAAAAAAAGAUUGCGACCUCGAUGUUGGAUUAAAAUAUAUAUUUGGUGUAGAAGCUAAAUAAUUAGGUCUGUUCGACCUUUAAAAUUUUACA